GGGUCAGUAGGUUGGUCGUGCCACCGGUACGUACUGGUCUCACUGAUUCCUCCUUCCUGAAGAACCGUAAUGCCAUUAAUUUGGUGUUGCGGGGAAACAGGACUAUUACUUUGAAAAAAUUAGAGUGUUUAAAGCAAGCUAACGAUUGAAUACAUUAGCAUGGAAUAAUGAAAUAGGACGAUCGAUCCUAUUUUGUUGGUUUCUAGGAUUGACGUA
rnacentral:rRNA from 1 species